AGCUGUCCUCACUUUCCCUUUCCGGCUGGCAGGUGGAGGAAAUCAAGCAUCCCAAAAGCUGCUACAGGAUCUUGCUGUUCUUCGGGAACAAAACCUACUUCCGGAAAAAAGUGGUUACCAAGGAAUAUCUCGUUAACAUUACUGAAUUCAGAGCCCCUCAUUCCUCUCCAGUUCAGUGGUAUCAGGAUUAUGAGCAUGAGGCCCACAGCCACGCACACCAGAACAGCAGUCUUAACUUCUUCAACUGGUUUUCUGACCACAACUUUACCGACUCUUACACGAUUGCUGAGCUCAUCACUGAAGACCUGUGUCUCACUCCCUUGUGCUACUAUACAAG